rnacentral:rRNA from 1 species
UACGUAGGGUGCGAGCGUUGUCCGGAAUUACUGGGCGUAAAGAGCUCGUAGGUGGUUUGUCACGUCGUCUGUGAAAUUCCGGGGCUUAACCUCGGGCGUGCAGGCGAUACGGGCAAUACUUGAGUGCUGUAGGGGAGACUGGAAUUCCUGGUGUAGCGGUGAAAUGCGCAGAUAUCAGGAGGAACACCAAUGGCGAAGGCAGGUCUCUGGGCAGUUACUGACGCUGAGGAGCGAAAGCAUGGGGAGCGAACAGGAUUAGA